AUGGAGUUUGUGCUGAGCUGGGUUUUCCUUGUUGCUAUAUUAAAAGGUGUCCAGUGUGAGGUUCAGCUGGUGCAGUCUGGGGGAGGCUUGGUACAGCCUGGGGGGUCCCUGAGACUCUCCUGUGCAGGCUCUGGAUUCACCUUCAGUAGCUAUGCUAUGCACUGGGUUCGCCAGGCUCCAGGAAAAGGUCUGGAGUGGGUGUCAGCUAUUGGUACUGGUGGUGGCACAUACUAUGCAGACUCCGUGAAGGGCCGAUUCACCAUCUCCAGAGACAAUGCCAAGAACUCCUUGUAUCUUCAAAUGAACAGCCUGAGAGCCGAGGACAUGGCUGUGUAUUACUGUGCAAGAGACACAGUGAGGGGAAGUCAGUGUGAGCCCAGACACAAACCUCUCUGCAGAAUGCUUGGGGGAAAUCAGCUGCGGGGGGCGCACAGGACCCACUGAUCAGAGUCAUCCCCAGAGGCAAGUUGCAGAU